AUUGAACGCUGGCGGCAUGCCUUACACAUGCAAGUCGAACGGCAGCAUGGAAGAGCUUGCUCUUCUGAUGGCGAGUGGCGAACGGGUGAGUAAAGCAUCGGAACGUACCGUGUAGUGGGGGAUAACGUAGCGAAAGUUACGCUAAUACCGCAUACGCACUGAGGUGGAAAGCAGGGGAUCGCAAGACCUUGCGCUAUACGAGCGGCCGAUGUCAGAUUAGCUAGUUGGUAGGGUAAAGGCCUACCAAGGCGACGAUCUGUAGCGGGUCUGAGAGGAUGAGCCGCCACACUGGGACUGAGACACGGCCCAGACUCCUACGGGAGGCAGCAGUGGGGAAUUUUGGACAAUGGGGGAAACCCUGAUCCAGCCAUGCCGCGUGAGUGAAGAAGGCCUUCGGGUUGUAAACUGCUUUUGUACGGAACGAAAAGGCUCUGGUUAAUACCUGGGGCUCAUGACGGUACCGUAAGAAUAAGCACCGGCUAACUACGUGCCAGCAGCCGCGGUAA
rnacentral:rRNA from 1 species